rnacentral:rRNA from 1 species
GAUGAACGCUAGCUACAGGCUUAACACAUGCAAGUCGCGGGGCAGCAUGGGGGUUGCUUGCAACCCCUGAUGGCGACCGGCGCACGGGUGAGUAACGCGUAUCCAACCUGCCCUUCACCACGGGAUAACCCGGCGAAAGUCGGACUAAUACCGUAUGUUGUCCAUUGACGGCAUCCGAUUUGGACGAAAGGCUUGGCGGGGGAAGGAUGGGGAUGCGUCCGAUUAGCUUGACGGCGGGGUAACGGCCCACCGUGGCUACGAUCGGUAGGGGUUCUGAGAGGAAGGUCCCCCACACUGGAACUGAGACACGGUCCAGACUCCUACGGGAGGCAGCAGUGAGGAAUAUUGGUCAAUGGGCGUAAGCCUGAACCAGCCAAGUAGCGUGCAGGAUGACGGCCCUAUGGGUUGUAAACUGCUUUUAUGCGGGGAUAAAGUGGCCCACGUGUGGGCUUUUGCAGGUACCGCAUGAAUAAGGACCGGCUAAUUCCGUG